CCCUUAGAUGUUCUGGGCCGCACGCGUGCUACACUGAGUGGAUCAGCGGGUCAGGUUGCGCGAAAGUGUUUCCUAAUCUUUAAAUCCGCUCGUGAUGGGGAUUGACGGUUGCAAUUUUCCGUCAUGAACGAGGAAUACCUUGUAAGCGCGGGUCAUCAUCCCGCGCUGAAUACGUCCCUGCCCUUUGUACACACCGCCCGUCGCUCCUACCGAUUGAGUGGUCCGGUGAGGCUUUGGGAUCUGGGCAGAAAGAGCGUUUCGCUGUUUCUGCCCGGAAAACUCAGUCGAACCUUAUCAUUUAGAGGAAGGAGAAGUCGUAACA
rnacentral:rRNA from 1 species